rnacentral:sRNA from 1 species
UUCAAUUUAUACAAUGUAUUCCCUAACCUCUAAUACAUCCUUGUAGCCCCAUAGCUACUCCAGUGUGAAUAAACUUGCCGCGUAAAAC